rnacentral:rRNA from 1 species
UACAGAGGUCUCAAGCGUUGUUCGGAUUCAUUGGGCGUAAAGGGUGUGUAGGUGGCGCGCUAAGUCGGGUGUGAAAUUUCGGAGCUUAACUCCGAAACUGCAUUCGAUACUGGCGUGCUUGAGGACUGGAGAGGAGACUGGAAUUCAUGGUGUAGCGGUGAAAUGCGCAGAUAUCAGGAAGAACACCCGUGGCGAAAGCGGCUCUCUGGAACGGUACUGACGCUGAGACGCGAAAGCGUGGGGAGCGAACAGG